rfam:Stegodyphus mimosarum contig33459, whole genome shotgun sequence.
GCCUUCGUGGUGUAGUGGUCAGCACGCUAGGCGUGUAUUCGAGAGGUCCGUGGUUCGAGUCCUGGCGAAGACG